UCUAAUAACAACGGACUGUCGGUCCUUGCUGCACCUGUGUCUUUGCGCACCGCGUAUUGUUUCCCUCUCGGCCGGGCUUGCCUAGCCGGUUUGGUAACAUUAUCAAAACCUUUCUUGGUAGUUGCAAUCAGCGUCAUAUACAUAACAAAUAUUAAUUACAA
rnacentral:misc_RNA from 1 species